GAGUUGAGCUACAUCCAAAAGAAAGUAAACCUAAAACAAAUAAAAGAUAAUAUAUUAGUUUCAUAAGCAACUAACUUAUACAAGUUUAUCUUUCUUAUACUUGAGAGUUUCACUAGAAUAUUUGCAUACAGGCUUCAAGAAUCAGCAUGACAGCAAAAAUAUGGUUUCUUGAUACACUAGAGUCAUUCAUUAUUUCGACAUGAGUUGAGCUGUAUCUAAAAGAAAAUAAUAUAAAACAAAUAAAAGAUAAUAUAUUAGCUUCAUG
rnacentral:lncRNA from 1 species